UUCCUAUACAACCCUUUAAUGCAACAAUGGGACGAAGAGAUGAAGACUUCUAGCAGGCUACCUCAGAAAGGUUGCUGACCAAAGGCUGUGUGGACCAAAAAGUCAUAACACCAUCCUGGAUGAUAGGACAUUUACCUAAGGAAUUACCCUCUCUCAAUUCUUCCCAGUGGUGCUUCGUGAACCCUGGAUGCUACAGUCUCUGGCCACAGCACUAAAUGUAUGCUGAGAUCUGGCUUCACGGUCAAGGGCGCUGCUGGUUUUCAAUGUGCCUGACAUGGGAUCAAUGGUGAAUGCACCAGAAGCCUCAUCAGUCAGAAAAUACUCAGUUUGCCCAUUCAGGCCUUCAUCCUUGUCCACAGCUGAAAGCACAAGAACCACUGUUCCCACUUCAGCAUCUUCUCUCACAGAGGACUGGUAAUAAAGUGUGGGAAAAGAA
rnacentral:antisense_RNA from 1 species